ensembl:lncRNA
CUGCUCGUUUUGUGCAGAGAGGAACUCUGGAGUGCUACCUCGUAGGGGCUUUGCAUCCAAAAUAGCCCCCUCUGCAGUUUUCCUCCUCAUCCAGAAGUGGCUAUAUGUAAGACACGGCAGAUAGCUGGCAUACAGGAAGUGUUAUUCAGCUUUCAUUCCAUACACAGACAGAAGAAAGAACAAAGCAAGGGUUAAAAAUAAGAAAUUUGGAGGAAAAGAAACUUCGAGGAAAGAAAUGAGCUAUACCCAUCCAGCUGUGCUAUCUGCUGCCCUGUCGGCAGGGAAUGAUGUAUUUUUGAGAAGGACGCGUGUGUAAAGAAACAGUGAUUGAAAACACAUGCGAAUGGAAAGGGAUUUUACCCAGCUCUCCCUCAGCCUGAGAAGAAAGCUGUCCAUUGCACUAAUUGCCACGCGAGCCCCAGAACUGUGUGGCGCUGCCAGGCUCUGAUCCCUCCCUGGAGAGCAGAGACGAAUGCAGAAGGACGGCGCGGGAGGUCAGGGGCAGCCAGCAAGAUCUUGCAGUCUCACAGUCUUUGGAUUUGCAGUAGCUAUAGAUGCUCACUUGAUGCUACGGCCGUCAGCACCAUGGACUUCCCUGCCUCCAGGAUGCAUGCAGUUGCCCAAAGGACUCUGGAGGGAUAUAUAUUAUAUAUAUACAAGAUAUACAUCACGGUCUAUAUUACAGCUGAAGGCAGAAAGAAAGUGUAAUGUCAACUGGGCUGGAUCAGAAUGUCAACAGGAAGGAUCAUGGCACAUCAGAGCAACCAUGUGGUGCUCGGAGAUGGCAUUUGUUGCAUCCACGGCAUUUCAGCUCGCCCAUCACUGCGCAUGGAAUUAAACCAGGAGAAGCCUUUUGGUGGCUCCAGCAGGUGCCUGCAGCACUGAGCACUGCCCAGCUGCAGACAGUUCCCCCCACGUGCCUAUUGCUGCCCCCGCCAUGGAGCCCCAGCUUCGUUCACGUCUUUAAACAGGAGGUGGCAGAGGCAGCUCAGUGCCCUGGAAGGUCAGGUCAGGCUUCAGGGCCUCCAGCUGCCUGAAAGCUGAACAGAAAUGAAAAGCUGUUGGUUAAGGAGAGAGCGCCUCGGGCUUCCCGCUGAGCCUGGCUGCAGCCCUUUAAUUAGGGAGUACGAGUCACAGGCUCACAGAAUCAUCAGGGAUGGAUAAGACCUUCAAGAUCAUCAAGUCCAAACAUCAACCUGACCUGCGGAGUUGCUAAAACUUGCCCCACAUCCACAUGACUUUAUAAGACAGAGCUGUAUUUUCCACUUUAACCAAACCUGCCCUGCUCUGCAAGCCAUUUCUUCUCUCUCUGCCCUUCUGCUAGCCCUGCCAUGCCACUCCUCCCCAUGUAUUCUGGAUGGCGAGGCGAGGCUGUAAUGCCCCACAGCACACCGGCUUCGAACACCUGCAAGGAAUUAAGGGAGGGUGAAAUACUCCCAGGAGCCUGUUGCGCAUCCUUUAGCCUCUACAAAAUCCUGAAUUCCUUUUGCAUGAGAACAUGGGUACAUCUGCUUGCAAUCAUCGUUCCCCAGUCAGCCGGCCUGCCGAAGCAGAAACAUGAUUCUCCACACUUUGGUCAGCAUUCGCAGCCGUGGGGCCAGGAUUGGAGAGGAGCAGAAUAAGCCUGCCUUUCAGCCGCGCUUCCCCAGCAGCCUGCCUGCCCCAGUGCUCACAGUCCUGUGUGCUCCUUGCCCUACUUUCAGGGAUUGAGAAAUGCUUAAAUAAAGAGAAACUUGUUCUGUGGUGGAAAAAUGGUCACUUCUUCUGGCGAGGCAUUUGAGAAGGAGACAGGAAGCAUGUUAUUUUAAAGGUAAACUGAUAAAAUGUUUGUUUGCUGAAGGAGCAGGAGGAAUGUCAAAAACAUGUCUUUAUAUACUACUGUACAAAAAGUUAUUUGAGGAUAUAGCUCUGCCAUGACAACAACUGCA